AUAAAAUUUUGCCUCUUAAAUGUUUGGUGUAUCCACAAGGUAUCUUGAAAUAACACAAUACACAAUACACAAACAAUGAUUGACUGUACUUUGAAGUUUUUCUCGUCUUACCUCAUACUUCAACUCGUAGUUUAAAACGCCAUUGGAUUGCCCAUAGAUUCAGAAGAGGGGAUGCUGCCGAAGUCUUGACACCAAAGAUAUAUGACUUGUUCACGACCUUUAUUUGUUGUUGAAAAUAUCAGUGGUGUUAAGGCCAGCUUGCUCACGUGUUUUUCACUUUUCCAACAAUGACUGUAAUAUCAUCGAGUUUUCCUCCUGUUAACUUCA
rnacentral:misc_RNA from 1 species